CCUACGGGAGGCAGCAGUGAGGAAUAUUGGUCAAUGGGCGCGAGCCUGAACCAGCCAAGUCGCGUGAGGGAAGACGGUCCUAUGGAUUGUAAACCUCUUUUGUCGGGGAGCAAAAGACGCCACGCGUGGCGUUCCGCGAGUACCCGAAGAAAAAGCAUCGGCUAACUCCGUGCCAGCAGCCGCGGUAAUACGGAGGAUGCGAGCGUUAUCCGGAUUUAUUGGGUUUAAAGGGUGCGAAGGCGGAAGAUCAAGUCAGCGGUAAAAUUGAGAGGCUCAACCUCUUCGAGCCGUUGAACCUGGUUGUCUUGAGUGAGUGAGAAGUAGGCGGAAUGCGUGGUGUAGCGGUGAAAUGCAUAGAUAUCACGCAGAACUCCGAUUGCGAAGGCAGCAUACCGGCGCUCAACUGACGCUCAUGCACGAAAGUGUGGGUAUCGAACAGGAUUAGAUACCCGGGUAGUC
rnacentral:rRNA from 1 species